AACGAACGCUGGCGGCAUGCCUAACACAUGCAAGUCGAACGAUGCUUUCGGGCAUAGUGGCGCACGGGUGCGUAACGCGUGGGAAUCUGCCCUUGGGUUCGGAAUAACAGUGAGAAAUUGCUGCUAAUACCGGAUGAUGUCUUCGGACCAAAGAUUUAUCGCCCAGGGAUGAGCCCGCGUAGGAUUAGCUAGUUGGUGGGGUAAUGGCCUACCAAGGCGACGAUCCUUAGCUGGUCUGAGAGGAUGAUCAGCCACACUGGGACUGAGAGACGGCCCAGACUCCUACGGGAGGCAGCAGUGGGGAAUAUUGGACAAUGGGCGCAAGCCUGAUCCAGCAAUGCCGCGUGAGUGAUGAAGGCCUUAGGGUUGUAAAGCUCUUUUACCCGGGAUGAUAAUGACAGUACCGGGAGAAUAAGCUCCGGCUAACUCCGUG
rnacentral:rRNA from 1 species